CGUGGCGGCUGCUUACCAUGGAAGUCGAACGGAGAAUUUAUUUCGGUAAAUUCUUAGUGGCGAACGGGUGAGUAACGCGUAGGCAACCUGCCCUUUGGAUGGGGACAACAUUCCGAAAGGAGUGCUAAUACCGAAUGUGAUCCAUUUCUCGCAUGAGAGAUGGAUGAAAGAUGGCCUCUAUUUAUAAGCUAUCGCCAAAGGAUGGGCCUGCGUCUGAUUAGUUAGUUGGUGGGGUAACGGCUCACCAAGACGAUGAUCAGUAGCCGGUCUGAGAGGAUGAACGGCCACAUUGGGACUGAGACACGGCCCAAACUCCUACGGGAGGCAGCAGUGGGGAAUCUUCCGCAAUGGACGAAAGUCUGACGGAGCAACGCCGCGUGAGUGAUGAAGGUUUUCGGACUGUAAAACUCUGUUGUCAGGGACGAAGGUGCGAUCUGCGAAUAGUUGAUCGUAUUGACGGUACCUGACGAGGAAGCCACGGCUAACUACGUGCCAGCAGCCGCGGUAAUACGUAGGUGGCAAGCGUUGUCCGGAAUUAUUGGGCGUAAAGAGCAUGUAGGUGGGCUUUUAAGUCCGAUGUGAAAAUGCGGGGCUCAACCCCGUAUGGCAUUGGAUACUGGAAGUCUUGAGUGCAGGAGAGGAAAGGGGAAUUCCCAGUGUAGCGGUGAAAUGCGUAGAUAUUGGGAGGAACACCAGUGGCGAAGGCGCCUUUCUGGACUGUGUCUGACACUGAGAUGCGAAAGCUAGGGUAGCAAACGGGAUUAGAUACCCCGGUAGUCCUAGCCGUAAACGAUGGGUACUAGGUGUAGGGGGUAUCGAC
rnacentral:rRNA from 1 species